UACGUAGGGGGCAAGCGUUGUCCGGAAUCAUUGGGCGUAAAGAGCGUGUAGGCGGCCAGAUAAGUCCGCUGUGAAAUCUCGAGGCUCAACUUCGAGCUGUCGGUGGAAACUGUCUGGCUAGAGUCCGGAAGAGGAGAAUGGAAUUCCUGGUUUAGCGGUGAAAUGCGCAGAUAUCAGGAAGAACACCCGUGGCGAAGGCGGCUCUCUGGGACGGUACUGACGCUGAGACGCGAAAGCGUGGGGAGCGAACAGG
rnacentral:rRNA from 1 species